rnacentral:rRNA from 1 species
CGGGACGGGUGAGUAACGCGUGGGUAACCUGCCUCAUACAGGGGGACAACAGUUGGAAACGACUGCUAAUACCGCAUAAGCCCACGGCUCGGCAUCGAGCAGAGGGAAAAGGAGUGAUCCGCUUUGAGAUGGCCUCGCGUCCGAUUAGCUAGUUGGUGAGGUAACGGCCCACCAAGGCGACGAUCGGUAGCCGGACUGAGAGGUUGAACGGCCACAUUGGGACUGAGACACGGCCCAG